rnacentral:rRNA from 1 species
CCUACGGGGGGCAGCAGUGGGGAAUAUUGGACAAUGGGGGGAACCCUGAUCCAGCGACGCCGCGUGAGUGAAGAAGUAUUUCGGUAUGUAAAGCUCUAUCAGCAGGGAAGAAAGAAAUGACGGUACCUGACUAAGAAGCCCCGGCUAACUACGUGCCAGCAGCCGCGGUAAUACGUAGGGGGCAAGCGUUAUCCGGAUGUACUGGGUGUAAAGGGGGCGUAGACGGCGAUGCAAGUCUGAAGUGAAAGGCGGGGGCCCAACCCCCGGACUGCUUGUGAAACUGUAUGGCUGGAGUGCAGGAGAGGUAAGUGGAAUUCCUAGUGUAGCGGUGAAAUGCGUAGAUAUUAGGAGGAACACCAGUGGCGAAGGCGGCUUACUGGACUGUAACUGACGUUGAGGCUCGAAAGCGUGGGGAGCAAACAGGAUUAGAUACCCGGGUAGUC